rnacentral:rRNA from 1 species
CCUACGGGUGGCAGCAGUGGGGAAUAUUGGGCAAUGGGCGCAAGCCUGACCCAGCAACGCCGCGUGAAGGAAGAAGGCUUUCGGGUUGUAAACUUCUUUUAAGAGGGAAGAGCCGCAGACGGUACCUCUUGAAUAAGCCACGGCGAACUACGUGCCAGCAGCCGCGGUAAUACGUAGGUGGCAAGCGGUGUCCGGAUUUACUGGGUGUAAAGGGCGUGCAGCCGGGAAGACAAGUCCUAUGUGAAAUCCCGCGGCUCAAACGCGGAACUGCCUUUGAAACUGGUUUUCUUGAGUACCGGAGAGGUAAUCGGAAUGCCUUGUGUAGCGGUGAAAUGCGUAGAUAUAAGGAAGAACACCAGUGGCGAAGGCGGAAGACUGGACGGCAACUGACGGUGAGGCGCGAAAGCGUGGGGAGCAAACAGGAUUAGAUACCCCUGUAGUC